CCUUUGCAUCGUCAAACAUUAAAAGAGACAAUUAACAUGAAUCAAUCAUUUGUACAUAUUCUACUGUGUGGUAUUAUUAUUCUGCUGGCAAAGGUCGGGGGAAGUGAGUGUCGCGCGUAAAUGUGUAUAAUGAAAAUAUACGAAAGCCUUUCUCA
rnacentral:rRNA from 1 species